rnacentral:rRNA from 1 species
AGAGUUUGAUCCUGGCUCAGAUUGAACGCUGGCGGCGUGCUUAACACAUGCAAGUCGAUCGGUAACGCGGGGGCAACCCUGGCGACGAGAGGCGGACGGGUGAGGAACGCUUGGGAAUCUGCCUAUCAGCGGGGGACAACACGGGGAAACUCGUGCUAAUACCGCAUACGCUCUACGGAGGAAAGCCGGGGACCGCAAGGCCUGGCACUGAUAGAUGAGCCCAAGCCGGAUUAGCUAGUUGGCGGGGUAACGGCCCACCAAGGCGACGAUCCGUAGCUGGUCUGAGAGGACGAUCAGCCACACUGGAACUGAGACACGGUCCAGACUCCUACGGGAGGCAGCAGUGGGGAAUAUUGGACAAUGGGGGAAACCCUGAUCCAGCGACGCCGCGUGGGUGAAGAAGGCCUGCGGGUUGUAAAGCCCUUUCGGUAGGGACGAAAGCUCUCGACCUAACACGUCGGGAGGUUGACUUAACCUACAAAAGAAGCACCGGCUAACUCUGUGCCAGCAGCCGCGGUAAUACAGAGGGUGCGAGCGUUAAUCGGAAUUACUGGGCGUAAAGCGCACGUAGGCGGCUUGGUAUGUCGGGUGUGAAAUCCCCGGGCUCAACCUGGGAACUGCAUCCGAAACUGCCUUGCUNGAGUAUGGGAGAGGGAAGUGGAAUUUCCGGUGUAGCGGUGAAAUGCGUAGAUAUCGGAAGGAACAUCAGUGGCGAAGGCGACUUCCUGGACCAAUACUGACGCUCAGGUGCGAAAGCGUGGGGAGCAAACAGGAUUAGAUACCCUGGUAGUCCACGCCCUAAACGAUGACAACUGGAUGUCGGGAGGGUUUGCCUUCCGGUGUCGUAGCUAACGCGUUAAGUUGUCCGCCUGGGAAGUACGGCCGCAAGGUUGAAACUUAAAGGAAUUGACGG